UUCCUAGACUGUAGACGGUGGUAACUCUGUUACAAAGUCUUGUUUCAUUUUAGGUAAAGAUGAUAUAUUUGGUGGUGACUGCAGUGACGUGGAAUGCUCGGGAAAAUCGUUCUAUUUUGUACGUGCCCUUAGUUACUGUGAUAUUGACAAGAUAGAGUUACACGUGCUGAAAGAAACAAUGGAUAUAUAACCAGAAUUUUCAAAAAGAAUUAAUGGGUAAAAUACAAGUGACAUUCAAUCUUAAGCUCGACGAAUGGGACCACAGAUCGGAGAAGAUGAGCCGACGUCUAGGGCAUUCGAAUUUUCUCCGCUAUCAGCAAGUAGUGGUAUAGAUACGGCGUUCAAAGACAGAUCAGUGUAAACAAGACGAAUAGUUGACGGAUGUUUCAUUUCUUCAUCAGAUUCCAGCCAGUACGUCAAGGUUACAGUGUGUUUUCGGUGUAUCUAUAAGGUCAUUCUUAGAAACAUCAGACAGUUGAGCGCCCACUGGUAGUCGACGCAUUUCCAGCUUUGAGCGCCCUCUGGUAGUCGGCGCAUUUCCAGCUUUGAGCGCCCUCUAGUAGUCGGCGCAUUUCCGGGAAGCUGGUGAUACAGCGCCAUCUGGAAAAAAUGAGACAGAUGUCACUGUCUAACCUCGAGGAAAUCGACUGCAAGUGAAACUAUUUAGCAAAGUAUACGAAUAUAACAUGGAUUUUUAAGAUCUUCCUUGUUGAAGAGAUUUCAUGUAACAUGGUGCUGCCUUCCAGCCGCAUUGAAAUUAUAAAAAUGAGAUUAGUGUUUUGUAUUUUCACAUCCUAAAUGAAAUUCAGCAGCGUUAAAGACACGCCUCAAAAUAACUGUCUUCUUUCGUAUUUCAGUGAUAAUAGUAAUACCUAAUGCCUAAAAAAUAUUAGGUAUACAAGCAUUUAGUUUCAAAUUGACAGUGACAUAUAUUAAGCCAAGACGAUGAGUUAAAUGUUUUAAUAUUUUAUUGUAUAAUUAAAUGUAGCAAUAUGUACAUAAGUCAGUGUAUUUAGUUAAAUUUCAA
rnacentral:lncRNA from 1 species